GACGAACGCUGGCGGCGUGCUUAACACAUGCAAGUCGAACGGAAAGGCCCUGCUUUUGUGGGGUGCUCGAGUGGCGAACGGGUGAGUAACACGUGAGUAACCUGCCCUUGACUUUGGGAUAACUUCAGGAAACUGGGGCUAAUACCGGAUAGGAGCUCCUGCUGCAUGGUGGGGGUUGGAAAGUUUCGGCGGUUGGGGAUGGACUCGCGGCUUAUCAGCUUGUUGGUGGGGUAGUGGCUUACCAAGGCUAUGACGGGUAGCCGGCCUGAGAGGGUGACCGGCCACCUUGGGACUGAGAUACGGCCCAGACUCCUACGGGAGGCAGCAGUGGGGAAUAUUGCACAAUGGGCGGAAGCCUGAUGCAGCAACGCCGCGUGCGGGAUGACGGCCUUCGGGUUGUAAACCGCUUUCGCCUAUGACGAAGCGUGAGUGACGGUAAUGGGUAAAGAAGCACCGGCUAACUACGUG
rnacentral:rRNA from 1 species